rnacentral:lncRNA from 1 species
CUUUCUUCUUUGCGACAACAUGAAUCGUAGCCCUUCUAAUGUGUUGAAAUUUAUUUUUUUGUGAAAUUCCUUCGUGUUGAAAUUCGUUUUAUUUGUCUGUAGCAUCAUCAAAACUAUUUCUCUAUGGAAGGAGUUCAAGUUUUGAGAGAUGGUGGCUGAAAAAUGAGCAAGAAAAUGAAAAAAUAAUAAUUAAAUGAGCCUUUCACGCGCUGAUAUUGAGUGUUUUAC